AGGAGGGAUGAGAAGUAAGAGCAAGGGCAGGAGAGAGGAAGAAGAAGAGGAGGAGGGAGGAAGAAGAAGAAGAAGAGGAGGGAGGAGGUGGAGGGAGAACUGGAGAAGGAAGGAGGUAAAAGAGGAGGAGGGAGCUCCAAAAAAUUAUACUAUUUACGUAAAUAGAAUAAUAUACUACUAUAAAUAUUAGUAACACAUUAUUUUAUAUACGUUUAAUUAAAUGUACUAUUUUAUUUUAAUAAAUAGUAUAGUAUAAUUUUUGUCCGAUAUUGUUUAAAAAUCUGUUUUAAAAAUUUUAAGUUAUGCCAUAUGUAAAAAAAUAUGUAUAUCUUUAGUAACAUAAUAAUUUGGUUGAAUUAUAUUUGCUUUAAAAGA
rnacentral:lncRNA from 1 species